rnacentral:rRNA from 1 species
GUACACGCUGUGACUAGCAUAUCAAUAAGCGGAGGAAAAGAAACUAACAAGGAUUCCCUCAGUAACGGCGAGUGAAGCGGGAAGAGCUCAAAUUUGAAAUCUUGAAAGGUCACCUUUCACGAAUUGUAGUUUAAAGAAGUGUUUUCUGCUACGAUCGUAAUAUAAGUUCUUUGGAAUAGGACAUCACAGAGGGUGAGAAUCCCGUCUAUGAUUGCGAUUUGUAGCUUUGUGAUACACUUUCAAAGAGUCGGGAUUGUUUGGGAAUGCAGUCCAGAACUGGGAGGUAAAUUUCAUUCUAAGGCUAAAUAUUGGCGAGAGACCGAUAGCGAACAAGUACCGUGAGGGAAAGAUGAAAAGAACUUUGAAAAGAGAGUUAAACUAGUACGUGAAAUUGUCAAAAGGGAAGCGUUUAACACCAGUGUUGUUUUCUGAAAAUCAACCUCUGUUAGCUUUAUGCAUGUUUGUUUAGACCUAAUCAGCUAUCUCGCAUGUUCUAUUGUUUGCAGUGGUGCACUUUUCAGUUUACAGGUCAACAUCAGUUUUUUUUACCGUAAAAAAGUUAAAGAAAGGUAGCUCAUGGCUCCGGUCGUGAGUGUUAUAGUCUUUUUCCUAUGCGGUAGGAGAGACUGAGGUCUGCAGUGUAGGCUAUUUGGCUAGAUACUCAGGUGCUAUGUGAUACCAUUUCAUAAACAACUUGUUGAUUAUGUUUUGUCUAUUGCAUACUCGCUUGUACUAUCAUACCUACGCUUAGGAUGUUGAGUAGCGACAUACGCAC